CAGACCUGAUCACCAUCCGCAACUUUUCAGAAAAUAACCAGACAAAUCAAAUUCUUUUAUCUGGAUCUUACAUCUGGAUUGGUCUGUUCCUGGACUCUUGGGAAUGGUCUGAUAAAUGGAGUCGCUCCUUCAGACACUGGGCAGCAGAUCAACCAUCCCAGAGUUCAGGAUCUGGUGACUGUGUUGGCAUGUCAAGAGCCAAUUCUGGGAAAUGGGCUCAAUACAGCUGUGAUCUAAAGCUGCCUUUUAUCUGCCAUGGGGAUGACAAGAGAAAACAAAUUGUGAGACUGAAAGUCACAUGUAAGGGAAUAUGUGCAUUGAAUGAUCCUUCACUACAGACGGCCAUUAUGAAUGAGAUAAGUGAAAAACUGAAGAACAUGAUGUUGGAGAGUGACAGCAAAAUAAGCUGGAGAAAGUGGGAAGAUGGAGAGAUGUUUCAUCUGGAGAAAAAUCAUACAGUUAAUUUAGAUAAUAAAUAGGCAUCUGUAAUGUACUUUUAAAAACUUAAACAGUUUAAAAAUGUUGAGUAAUGUUAUUGUUUUAAAGAACUGGAAAAUUGAAGUACA